UUUUGUAAUAAACCAAGUAUAUUUUUUCUAAGAAGACCUCUGGAGUGCACUCGUUUUUUAUUUAUAUUAUUUUUAUAUAUAUAUAUAUAUAUAUAUAUAUAUAAAACAUUUUUUUUUUUUUUAAAUUGGGGUAGCCCCCAAAAUAUUGGGACAUAUAAAAAAAAGGACAACUCUGUUCCACAGAGUAGCUGUUGACAUUAUAGUUGCGCAGGCACUUUGUUGACUCUAGAGAACCUCGGGCCAAUCGCACAUCCCUGUGACGGCGACUUUGCAUUCGGAUGUCAUCCAUAUCAACUUUCGAUGCCAGUUUAUGCGCCUACCAUGGUGACCACGGGUAACGGGGAAUCAGGGUGCCAUUCCAUACAGUGACCCUGAGAAACGGCUACCACAUGCAAGGAAGGCAGCAGGCGCGCAAAUAACCCACUCCCGACGCUGGAUGGUAGUGACGAAA
rnacentral:rRNA from 1 species